GGCGGGCAAUGAUGAUGCGGACAAAACGUCGUUUUCCUGAAUCUGAUGACGGUUUUAAGUCACUACCUCUUCUGAGCUCAUA
ensembl:snoRNA small nucleolar RNA SNORD11B